ACCGAGCUUUACUCCCCACAGCUCGCCUCCAAGGAGGACGACCCCCACACCAACGACCUGGUGGGGGGGCUGAUGAGUGAUGGGCUGCGGAGACUCUCUGGAAAUGAAUAUGUUUUCUCCAAAAACAUGAGCCAGAGUCAGCUGGCCAUCCCGGUCACCUUAAACGACGUUCCUCCAUCCAUCGCAGAGAUGCUGAACGACGAGGAGUGCUGGGAGUUCAACAUCCUGGAGCUGGAAGCAGCGACUCACAAGAGGUGAAGGACUCUGAGUAAAAGCAGCAGCAAAUACAGACUAGACAAACGUUGGCGGUAGCUCCUCCCACAUGUGGCCGAACAGUCAAGGACAUUUAUGAUGAGCGUCGAUCAG